GAUACUUUUUUUUUUUUUUUUUGAUGAAAAUGUAAUUAAAUAUUUCGAUGGAAUAAAAAAAAUAAAAAGUUUUACAAUAAUCCAAUCAUUUCACCGAUCAAUAAAAAUUGAACGUUAAAAAUUUAUCGUACGAGCCAAUUGUGCACGCAAGUUUUAAUAUCAUUAUUAAUCACAAGAAUAAACCUGGUGCUCGGACUCGACGGACGAAAUAAAAAAAAAGAUUAUUUUUCCAACGCUUACUUUCCAGCCUAGACCCGAGGCAUUUUCAAAUAAACACUCCCUCCCCUCCCCUCCUUCCUCAUUAUAUCGUGACUUUUUUUAUUUCCCUCUUUACGCGCAACAUGAAUUUUUGCCGCGCUUUUCAAACGCUAUAUAUCUCUCGCACAAAGGCAAGCAUCGGACGGUAAUAAAAUUUAUUAAGAAGAAAAGAAAUCGCAUAAAAGAAGUAUCGUGGCCGGGCAUGCAAACAUGUAGACAAACAGCAAAGAGCGUUUGUCCUGCAAACGAGGAACGUCACCGACGCGAAACUUUGCCAAGGAUGCCAGGAAUGUGGGACAAGGAAAAUCUCGACGCCUUGGCUUCGAUGCGUUUUAUUAUCACAACUAGCAUUUCGCUAGUGAAAAUAUCAAGCGUCGAAUAUUAUAUUAUAUUCCGUUGAAUAUGAACAGAAUGGUCAAUAUCCGUGUCGAUUUCUAAUUUAAAUUCGUCCUUUCCCUCUCCUCUUCCCUCCCUCCCCCCUCCCUUUCCCCAAAAAAAUAUUUCGGGAAAAUAUAUCCCCCCCCGUUCAACGAUACGCUUCCCCGUAUAUGUAAAUCUACGAAGGCCGAUUGUAUACACGGGAAAUGUAUUUUUCCGGUUACACGGUAGACUUGCCAGGUAACAACCGACCGACUUGUUCCGUUUCAUUAUGCAAGCAAGAGAACUAGAAAAAAAAAGAAAAAAAAAAAAAAUAACAACAAAACAGUAGUGGUAGGUCUCUAUCGAGACCCAUUAAAAUACGUUCUUCAUGCUCGGUUUCUACUUUAUUAACAUAUUCGAUGAAAUAUUUUACGAUCCGAUAUUAGAUUUGUUACAUUAUUAUUGUGUUACUGUCGUAACUCGCGAAUGUUGAUAUUUAACGAUUGCGGAUUACACGUGUUUUUGAAUUUAUAUCAUUUCAAGCUUUAUAUCCCUCUCUAUUGAAAAUAUUUUCUGUGUAGUUGCGAUAUCUGCAUGUAAGUUUCACGUGUAAACACGGCUACCCUGACCUUCUAUCGUUUUUUUGUUUCUCCGUAGCUCGUAAAAAUUAGAAACUCGAACGUGUAUCGCCGGAAAAAACAGUCGUUCAUCGACGACCGGUAAGUACGGGAUCUAACUUUUCGUCCGCGUUAGAAUUUUUAGAAGGCGUUUCAUGAGGCGUUUCGAUCGUACGAAAAAUGAGCCGUUACGAAUUGGUUAAGAGCGUGCGCGUCUCGCGCUUCGCGCAUCGAGACGUUGGAAAAUCGUCCCAUCAGUGGAGGAUUCGAUGCGUGUCUGUCACGCGGCCGAUUCUGUGCAUACUCGCGUAACUUCGUCGGCUUGGUAAAUCAACGGACGAGAAGAAGACGUGUACAACAACGAUGCAAGAUGCGCUUGUUAUAUCGCUUUUCCAUUUUAUCCGUCUCGAAAAGAGGAAAUUCUAGAACAAACUGAUUCUAAAUCUUGUAAUGAAAUAUAUAGUUUUAAAUUCAUAAAAUCAGAUGAGAUAGCAGUAAAGCAAG